rnacentral:rRNA from 1 species
GCGAAGCGUGGGGAGCAAACAGGAUUAGAUACCUGGUAGUCACGCUGUAAACGAUGUCGAUUUGGAGGUUGUUCCCUUGAGGAGUGGCUUCCGGAGCUAACGCGUUAAAUCGACCGCCUGGGGAGUACGGCCGCAAGGUUAAAACUCAAAUGAAUUGACGGGGGCCCGCACAAGCGGUGGAGCAUGUGGUUUAAUUCGAUGCAACGCGAAGAACCUUACCUACUCUUGACAUCCAGAGAAUUUAGCAGAGAUGCUUUAGUGCCUUCGGGAACUCUGAGACAGGUGCUGCAUGGCUGUCGUCAGCUCGUGUUGUGAAAUGUUGGGUUAAGUCCCGCAACGAGCGCAACCCUUAUCCUUUGUUGCCAGCACAUUAUGGUGGGAACUCAAAGGAGACUGCCGGUGAUAAACCGGAGGAAGGUGGGGAUGACGUCAAGUCAUCAUGGCCCUUACGAGUAGGGCUACACACGUGCUACAAUGGCGUAUACAAAGAGAAGCGACCUCGCGAGAGCAAGCGGAACUCAUAAAGUACGUCGUAGUCCGGAUUGGAGUCUGCAACUCGACUCCAUGAAGUCGGAAUCGCUAGUAAUCGUAGAUCAGAAUGCUACGGUGAAUACGUUCCCGGGCCUUGUACACACCGCCCGUCACACCAUGGGAGUGGGUUGCAAAAGAAGUAGGUAGCUUAACCUUCGGGAGGGCGCUUACCACUUUGUGAUUCAUGACUGGGGUGAAGUCGUAACAAGGUAACCA